CAUCAUCUCCCCAUCCUUUGACCUCUGAAACAUCAGCAGUCACCAGAUCCUCUGUCUUCGCCUACAACCACAUGAAUAAACUUACAUGAAAGAAAUCAAGGAUUGUCCUGUUGGUGUCGUUUAACAGUUGAGGGAGGUGAACAUAUCUAAUUAUCUGUGUGAUUUUAUAAUCCACCUGUCUUUCUAUUAAUGGGAGAUUCAGUCAUUCAGAUCCACCGGUUUGUAUUUUAUCUUUUUGUUUUUCAUAGAG